UAUACAGCGAAACUGCGAAUGGGUCAUUAUAUAAGUUAUCGUUUAUUUGAUAGUACCUUACUACUUGGAUAACCGUGGUAAUUCUAGAGCUAAUACAUGCUAAAAAUCCCGACUUACGAAGGGAUGUAUUUAUUAGAUUAAAAACCAAUGCCCUUCGGGGCUCACUGGUGAUUCAUAAUAACUUCUCGAAUCGCAUGGCCUUGCGCCGGCGAUGGUUCAUUCAAAUUUCUUCCCUAUCAACUUUCGAUGCUAGAGUAGUGUUCUAGCAUGGUUACAACGGGUAACGGAGGGUUAGGGCUCGACCCCGGAGAAGGAGCCUGAGAAACGGCUACUACAUCCAAGGAAGGCAGCAGGCGCGCAAAUUACCCAAUCCCGACACGGGGAGGUAGUGACGAUAAAUACUGAUACAGGGCUCUUUUGGGUCUUGUAAUUGGAAUGAGUACAAUUUAAAUCCCUUAACGAGGAACAAUUGGAGGGCAAGUCUGGUGCCAGCAGCCGCGGUAAUUCCAGCUCCAAUAGCGUAUAUUAAAGUUGUUGUGGUUAAAAAGCUCGUAGUAGAACUUUGGGCCUGGCUGGCCGGUCCGCCUCACCGCGUGCACUGGUCCGGCCGGGCCUUUCCCCCUGUGGAACCUCAUGCCCUUCACUGGGUGUGUGGGAAAACAGGACUUUUACUUUGAAAAAAUUAGAGUGCUCCAGGCAGGCCUAUGCUCGAAUACAUUAGCAUGGAAUAAUAGAAUAGGACGUGUGGUUCUAUUUUGUUGGUUUCUAGGACCGCCGUAAUGAUUAAUAGGGACAGUCGGGGGCAUCAGUAUUCAAUUGUCAGAGGUGAAAUUCUUGGAUUUAUUGAAGACUAACUACUGCGAAAGCAUUUGCCAAGGAUGUUUUCAUUUAUCAGGAACGAAAGUUAGGGGAUCGAAGACGAUCAGAUACCGUGGUAGUCUUACCCAUAAACUAUCCCGACUAGGGAUCGGACGAUGUUAUUUUUUGACUCGUUCGGCACCUUACGAGAAAUC
rnacentral:rRNA from 1 species